rnacentral:rRNA from 2 species
UGGGGAAUAUUGCACAAUGGAGGGAACUCUGAUGCAGCGACGCCGCGUGAACGAAGAAGGCUUUCGAGUCGUAAAGUUCUUUUAUAUGGGAAGAUAAUGACGGUACCAUAAGAAAAAGCCCCGGCUAACUACGUGCCAGCAGCCGCGGUAAUACGUAGGGGGCUAGCGUUGUCCGGAAUCACUGGGCGUAAAGGGUUCGCAGGCGGAAAUGCAAGUCAGGUGUAAAAGGCAGUAGCUUAACUACUGUAAGCAUUUGAAACUGCAUAUCUUGAGAAGAGUAGAGGUAAGUGGAAUUUUUAGUGUAGCGGUGAAAUGCGUAGAUAUUAAAAAGAAUACCGGUGGCCAAGGCGACUUACUGGGCUCAUUCUGACGCUGAGGAACGAAAGCGUGGGUAGCAAACAGG